rnacentral:lncRNA from 1 species
AGGAGAGACCAUUGGUGAAGGUGCAGCCUCAGUAGCUGUUGAAGGCCAGAUAGACUGAAGGAGUCAUGAAGAGAAACCGAGGCUCGGCAUCAUGAAUAAAUCCUAGGACAUUGGUAAAAGCACAGCCCAGUUGCAGUCAAAGAUCCCAGCAUUGUGGAGAUGCCAGUACCUUGGCAUGAUCACCAAGAGCAGCAGUGGCCAUAGAAUGGCGCCUACCCGAGCUUAGAGGACAAGCUGUGUGUGCUACAGAGGAGCUGGAGAAGUGGCCCAAGCCCCUUGUAGGAGGCCAGAAGAUGGUUAGUGAAUCCCAGGUGGCGCCACCUCUGUUUGUAAACUCCAAUCCAGAGCUGUAGUUGUUUCUCCUUUUGGCCCUACACUGUAGAACCAAAGCCGUGCCCAACAGAAGUAGCCUCACCCUGAGUGUCUGAAGCCAGUAUACACGUGAUGUAAGUAAACUGUGCCUUCUUUCCUCAGAUUGUCAUCAUAAAGGAGCCUGGAUUUUACAUGAGGGAGGCAGGGAGGGUGUUU